GUAGUCAUAUGCUUGUCUCAAAGAUUAAGCCAUGCAUGUCUAAGUAUAAGCAAUCUAUACAGUGAAACUGCGAAUGGCUCAUUAAAUCAGUUAUCGUUUAUUUGAUAGUACCUUACUACUUGGAUAACCGUGGUAAUUCUAGAGCUAAUACAUGCUAAAAACCCCGACCUCUGGAAGGGGUGUAUUUAUUAGAUAAAAAACCAAUGCCUUCGGGCUUCUUGGUGAUUCAUGAUAACUUUACGAAUCGCAUGGCCUUGUGCCGGCGAUGGUUCAUUCAAAUUUCUGCCCUAUCAACUUUCGAUGGUAGGAUAGUGGCCUACCAUGGUUUCAACGGGUAACGGGGAAU
rnacentral:rRNA from 1 species